CCGCACACAUAAUUUUUCAUUGUUUAUAUCCGGAUAGAAUUCAUCAUUGAUGAUGAUUAUUGAUCAAAUAAACACAUAGACACAUGCAUACAAAAUCAAUUCAAUAUAAACAAACAAACUGGAUUGAUAUAAAGAUCAUCCAAAUUCAUUGUCGGUAGCGAUGAUGAUGAUGAUGAUGAUGAUGACGAUGAUAUCAUCAUUUGCGUUCAACAACUUGAUACAUUAUCAUCCUACGCUUUUUAGAAAGCAUUAGAAAAAAAAAUUCUGGUCGAUUUUAUCUCCAUCCAUUCUUUUCAUUUCAUUUCAUUUUUUUGGCUGCCAUUUUUAUUUUCAUUAUAUGUAUGUGUGGAGAAUGUGGAGAUUAGCAAAUAUUUAAUCAAAAAUUUGAAUUUUUUUUUCGCUUGUUUGUUUGUUUGUUUGUCUAUUUCAUCAAUUUUGAUCGACAACAAUCAGAUCAUAUUAAUCAGAUUGGUCAGAUACACUGAAUUUGAACCAUCGAUCAUUAAAAUAUCGAUUAAAUUACGUUAAUUAAUUUAGCUAUACUACAACGAAGAAGAAAGUUUUUUAUUCACAUUUUCCAUAGUGAUUUUUUUUUCAAAUUUUCAUUUCUUUAAA